CCCGAGUCCUCUGUCCUUCUUCUUCUUCCUUCAAACUCGUACGGACACACACACAACUACACUAUUUCACCACAGAUCGAAGGAACUAAGGGCACAGUUGAGAUCGUGAGGUCGUGGGGAGCAAGAGCAUACCAAUAUCAGCUUGUAGUUGUGUUGGUGAGGUUCCAAGGAGCUUGGGAGUGCAUCAUUGGACGGAAUUGGACGUCGGAUUAGCCUGGUUCGAGUUUGACCGGUUUUGGUAAUUGGUGACAGGUGACACGUAUCCCGAGGACGAGCGGGCUCACGCGAGGCAGGGGGGCUACGACCCUUCCACAU